rnacentral:rRNA from 1 species
AGAGUUUGAUCCUGGCUCAGGAUGAACGCUGGCGGCGUGCUUAACACAUGCAAGUCGAGCGAUGAAGUUUCCUUCGGGAAACGGAUUAGCGGCGGACGGGUGAGUAACACGUGGGUAACCUGCCUCAUAGAGUGGAAUAGCCUUCCGAAAGGAAGAUUAAUACCGCAUAAUGUUGAAAGAUGGCAUCAUCAUUCAACCAAAGGAGCAAUCCGCUAUGAGAUGGACCCGCGGCGCAUUAGCUAGUUGGUGGGGUAACGGCCUACCAAGGCGACGAUGCGUAGCCGACCUGAGAGGGUGAUCGGCCACAUUGGGACUGAGACACGGCCCAGACUCCUACGGGAGGCAGCAGUGGGGAAUAUUGCACAAUGGGCGAAAGCCUGAUGCAGCAACGCCGCGUGAGUGAUGACGGCCUUCGGGUUGUAAAACUCUGUCUUCAGGGACGAUAAUGACGGUACCUGAGGAGGAAGCCACGGCUAACUACGUGCCAGCAGCCGCGGUAAUACGUAGGUGGCAAGCGUUGUCCGGAUUUACUGGGCGUAAAGGGAGCGUAGGCGGAUGUUUAAGUGGGAUGUGAAAUACUCG